rnacentral:rRNA from 1 species
UACGUAGGGACCAAGCGUUGUUCGGAUUUACUGGGCGUAAAGGGCGCGUAGGCGGCAUGACAAGUCACUUGUGAAAUCUCUGGGCUUAACCCAGAGCGGCCAAGUGAUACUGUCGCGCUAGAGUGCGGAAGGGGCAAUCGGAAUUCUCGGUGUAGCGGUGAAAUGCGUAGAUAUCGAGAGGAACACCUGAGGUGAAGACGGGUUGCUGGGCCGACACUGACGCUGAGUGCGCGAAAGCCAGGGGAGCAAACGGG